rnacentral:rRNA from 1 species
AGAUUGAACGCUAGCGGGAUGCUUUACACAUGCAAGUCGAACGGCAGCGCGGACUUCGGUCUGGCGGCGAGUGGCGAACGGGUGAGUAAUAUAUCGGAACGUGCCCAGUAGCGGGGGAUAACUACGCGAAAGCGUGGCUAAUACCGCAUACGCCCUACGGGGGAAAGGGGGGAUCGCAAGACCUCUCACUAUUGGAGCGGCCGAUAUCAGAUUAGCUAGUUGGUGAGGUAAAGGCUCACC